GAGUUUGAUCGUGGCUCAGAUUGAACGCUGGCGGCAUGCCUUACACAUGCAAGUCGAACGGCAGCACGGGAGCUUGCUCCUGGUGGCGAGUGGCGAACGGGUGAGUAAUGCAUCGGAACGUAUCCUGGAGUGGGGGAUAACGUAGCGAAAGUUACGCUAAUACCGCAUAUUCUGUGAGCAGGAAAGCGGGGGACCCUCGGGCCUCGCGCUCUUGGAGCGGCCGAUGUCGGAUUAGCUAGUUGGUGAGGUAAAGGCUCACCAAGGCGACGAUCCGUAGCAGGUCUGAGAGGAUGAUCUGCCACACUGGAACUGAGACACGGUCCAGACUCCUACGGGAGGCAGCAGUGGGAAUUUGGACAAUGGGGGCAACCCUGAGUCCAGCCAUGCCGCGUGAGUGAAGAAGGCC
rnacentral:rRNA from 1 species